rnacentral:lncRNA from 1 species
UUAAAAUCUAAUUAGAAUUAGAGGACAAAAGGAAAGUGCCUGUAACUGGAAGACUGAAAUGAGAGCAGACUAAUGUCCCUGGUGCUUUAAGGUGCUUAGCAUAAACCUAGAGUAUUAGUUGGUUAGCAUAUCCAAGGAGUGAAAUAUUUCUUUCAAAUUCUUCCACAGUGAUCCACGUUUCUCUGAAAAUUCCAAGAAACAGAAGCCAACUGGUUUGAUUCAGCGCUGUGCCAUGGAACAGGUCACUGUGACAAAUCCAUUCUCCUUCUCCAAGCACUAAAAGUUCCUUUGCAGAUUUGCCAGACAUGAGGAAGAUCUCACAGGGAGAUGUGGAAAAAAAAAAAGGAAAGAC